GGGGUUGUGGCUCAGUGGUAGAGCACUUGCCUAGCAUGUGUGAAGCACUGGGUUCAACUCUCAGCACCCCA
rnacentral:tRNA from 1 species